UACGUAGGGGGCAAGCGUUGUCCGGAUUUACUGGGCGUAAAGCGCGUGUAGGCGGGUCGUUAAGUUGGGGGUGAAAUCCCGAGGCUCAACCUCGGAACUGCCUUCGAUACUGGCGAUCUUGGAGUCCGGGAGAGGUGAGUGGAACUCCGAGUGUAGAGGUGAAAUUCGUAGAUAUUCGGAAGAACACCAGUGGCGAAGGCGCUCACUG
rnacentral:rRNA from 1 species